CACGUAGGGUGCGAGCGUUGUCCGGAAUUAUUGGGCGUAAAGAGCUCGUAGGCGGUCUGUCGCGUCUGCUGUGAAAACUCAGGGCUUAACCCUGAGCUUGCAGUGGGUACGGGCAGACUAGAGUGCGGUAGGGGAGACUGGAAUUCCUGGUGUAGCGGUGAAAUGCGCAGAUAUCAGGAGGAACACCGGUGGCGAAGGCGGGUCUCUGGGCCGAUACUGACGCUGGAGGAGCGAAAGCCGUGGGGAGCGAACAGG
rnacentral:rRNA from 1 species